UACGAAGGGGGCUAGCGUUGUUCGGAUUUACUGGGCGUAAAGGGCGCGUAGGCGGGCGAAUCAGUCAGGGGUGAAAUCCCAAGGCUCAACCUUGGAACUGCCUUUGAUACUGUUUGUCUUGAGUUCGAGAGAGGUAAGUGGAACUGCGAGUGUAGAGGUGAAAUUCGUAGAUAUUCGCAAGAACACCAGUGGCGAAGGCGGCUUACUGGCUCGAAACUGACGCUGAGGCGCGAAAGCGUGGGGAGCAAACAGG
rnacentral:rRNA from 1 species